rnacentral:rRNA from 1 species
GACGAACGCUGGCGGCGUGCUUAACACAUGCAAGUCGAGCGGUAAGGCCUCUUCGGGGGUACACGAGCGGCGAACGGGUGAGUAACACGUGGGUGACCUGCCCUCAGCUCUGGGAUAAGCCUGGGAAACUGGGUCUAAUACCGGAUAGUCACUUCCUAUCGCAUGGUGGGUGGUGGAAAGUUUUUUCGGCUGGGGAUGGGCCCGCGGCCUAUCAGCUUGUUGGUGGGGUGAUGGCCUACCAAGGCGACGACGGGUAGCCGGCCUGAGAGGGCGACCGGCCACACUGGGACUGAGACACGGCCCAGACUCCUACGGGAGGCAGCAGUGGGGAAUAUUGCGCAAUGGGCGGAAGCCUGACGCAGCGACGCCGCGUGGGGGAUGACGGCCUUCGGGUUGUAAACCUCUUUCGACCUCGACGAAGCCUUUGGGUGACGGUAGGGGUAGAAGAAGCACCGGCCAACUACGUGCCAGCCGCCGCAGUAAAAC